CGCAGCCGCGGUAAUUCCAGCUCCAAUAGCGUAUAUUAAAGUUGUUGCAGUUAAAAAGCUCGUAGUUGAAUUUCGGGGUCAGUAGAUUGGUCGUGCCACUGGUAUGUACUGGUCUCACUGGCUCCUCCUUCCUGAUGAACCGUAAUGCCAUUAAUUUGGUGUUGCGGGGAGACUGGACUGUUACUUUGAAAAAAUUAGAGUGUUUAAAGCAGGCUAACGCUUGAAUACAUUAGCAUGGAAUAAUGAAAUAGGACGUUCGAUCUUAUUUUGUUGGUUUCUAAGAUUGACGUAAUGAUUAAUAGGGAUAGUUGGGGGCAUUAGUAUUCAAUUGUCAGAGGUGAAAUUCUUGGAUUUAUUGAAGACUAACUACUGCGAAAGCAUUUGCCAAGGAUGUUUUCAUUAAUCAAGAACGAAAGUUAGGGGAUCGAAGACGAUCAGAUACCGUCGUAGUCUUAACCAUAAACUAUGCCGACUAGGGAUCGGAUGAUGUUAAUUUUUUAAUGACUCAUUCGGCGUCCG
rnacentral:rRNA from 1 species